rnacentral:rRNA from 1 species
GACGAACGCUGGCGGCGUGCUUAACACAUGCAAGUCGAACGGUGAAGCGCCUUCCUUUUUGGUGGGUGUGGAUGAGUGGCGAACGGGUGAGUAACACGUGAGUAACCUGCCCCCUUCUUCUGGAUAACCGCAUGAAAGUGUUGCUAAUACGGGAUAUUCUGGGUCUGUCGCAUGAUGCGUCUGGGAAAGUUAUUGUUUCGGUGGGGGAUGGGAUCGCGGCCUAUCAGCUUGUUGGUGGGGUGAUGGCAUACCAAGGCGGUGACGGGUAGCCGGCCUGGGCGGGUGGAAGGUAACACUGGGGAUGAGACACGGACAAGACUGCUACGGGAGGCAGCAGUGGGGAAUAUGGCACAAUGGGAGGAAGAAUGAUGCAGCGACGCCGAGAGAGGGAUGGAGGAAUGCGGGUUGUGAACCGCUUUCGCCAGUGAAGCAGGCCUGCCUCGUGUGUGGGUGGGUUGACGGUAGCUGGAGAAGAAGCGCCGGCUAACUACGUG